rnacentral:rRNA from 1 species
UGAAUCUUUCGCAUUGUUAAUCAUACAAGUGCAUAUAAUAAACACAAAAAUCAAUGAUAAUUAUGCCAUUAUAUAAUUCCGAAAAAUUAACGCACUGUAUUCAUAUAAAUCUAUCAGCACUUUAUCAAAUUAAUAACAUUUAUUCUGUGUUAAAAUGCAAGCAAAUUAAUUUGAAUAAACUAUAAGUUAUAUUUUAUGAUAAAUUUUGUAUGCUAAUAGAUUACAAUGUCCUUAUAUGGAAAAAAUGCACACUAUUAUCAUAAUAUUGUUUAAAUAUU